AAGAAAUUGGCCAGAAUUUAGAAAAGUAGAAGAACGUAGUGACAUACGAAUGGGGCAUAGUGUUGGUUAUGUUCUAUUUUCUUUACUACUGAGAUAUGCCAAGAAAUUAUUUUGCAAAGGCCAAAUCUGUGGAAAUGUGCGAGUGAUGGGUCUUAAUCAAGAUCCAAAAUGGACCUCCGAAUUUCUCGGUUGCGAUCAAGAGAAAACCAACACCCCACCUGCCUAGAACAUGGUCAGAGAGACAAAGGGGUUAUGUCCAUUUCUCUUGUUGGCUUGUGCAAUGCUGAAAAGCUCAUAAAAAUCCAACGUGUUUAGUUCGCGUGCCAACAUUUUAGCUGUAAAAUGGAUUUCAUU
rnacentral:misc_RNA from 1 species